GGGGGCGGCGUGCUAUACAUGCAGUCGACGCACAGCGAAAGGUGCUUGCACCUUUCAAGUGAGUGGCGAACGGGUGAGUAACACGUGGACAACCUGCCUCAAGGCUGGGGAUAACAUUUGGAAACAGAUGCUAAUACCGAAUAAAACUUAGUGUCGCAUGACACAAAGUUAAAAGGCGCUUCGGCGUCACCUAGAGAUGGAUCCGCGGUGCAUUAGUUAGUUGGUGGGGUAAAGGCCUACCAAGACAAUGAUGCAUAGCCGAGUUGAGAGACUGAUCGGCCACAUUGGGACUGAGACACGGCCCAAACUCCUACGGGAGGCUGCAGUAGGGAAUCUUCCACAAUGGGCGAAAGCCUGAUGGAGCAACGCCGCGUGUGUGAUGAAGGCUUUCGGGUCGUAAAGCACUGUUGUAUGGGAAGAACAGCUAGAAUAGGAAAUGAUUUUAGUUUGACGGUACCAUACCAGAAAGGGACGGCUAAAUACGUGCCAGCAGCCGCGGUAAUACGUAUGUCCCGAGCGUUAUCCGGAUUUAUUGGGCGUAAAGCGAGCGCAGACGGUUUAUUAAGUCUGAUGUGAAAGCCCGGAGCUCAACUCCGGAAUGGCAUUGGAAACUGGUUAACUUGAGUGCAGUAGAGGUAAGUGGAACUCCAUGUGUAGCGGUGGAAUGCGUAGAUAUAUGGAAGAACACCAGUGGCGAAGGCGGCUUACUGGACUGCAACUGACGUUGAGGCUCGAAAGUGUGGGUAGCAAACAGGAUUAGAUACCCUGGUAGUCCACACCGUAAACGAUGAACACUAGGUGUUAGGAGGUUUCCGCCUCUUAGUGCCGAAGCUAACGCAUUAAGUGUUCCGCCUGGGGAGUACGACCGCAAGGUUGAAACUCAAAGGAAUUGACGGGGACCCGCACAAGCGGUGGAGCAUGUGGUUUAAUUCGAAGCAACGCGAAGAACCUUACCAGGUCUUGACAUCCUUUGAAGCUUUUAGAGAUAGAAGUGUUCUCUUCGGAGACAAAGUGACAGGUGGUGCAUGGUCGUCGUCAGCUCGUGUCGUGAGAUGUUGGGUUAAGUCCCGCAACGAG
rnacentral:rRNA from 1 species